GAAACAUCUUAGUACCCGGAGGAAGAGAAAGAAAAUUCGAUUCCCUUAGUAGCGGCGAGCGAAACGGGAAGAGCCCAAACCAACAAGCUUGCUUGUUGGGGUUGUAGGACACUCUAUACGGAGUUACAAAGGACGACAUUAGACGAAUCAUCUGGAAAGAUGAAUCAAAGAAGGUAAUAAUCCUGUAGUCGAAAAUGUUGUCUCUCUUGAGUGGAUCCUGAGUACGACGGAGCACGUGAAAUUCCGUCGGAAUCUGGGAGGACCAUCUCCUAAGGCUAAAUACUCUCUAGUGACCGAUAGUGAACCAGUACCGUGAGGGAAAGGUGAAAAGCACCCCGGAAGGGGAGUGAAAUAGAACCUGAAACCGUGUGCUUACAAGUAGUCAGAGCCCGUUAAUGGGUGAUGGCGUGCCUUUUGUAGAAUGAACCGGCGAGUUACGAUUUGAUGCAAGGUUAAGCAGUAAAUGUGGAGCCGUAGCGAAAGCGAGUCUGAAUAGGGCGUUUAGUAUUUGGUCGUAGACCCGAAACCAGGUGAUCUACCCUUGGUCAGGUUGAAGUUCAGGUAACACUGAAUGGAGGACCGAACCGACUUACGUUGAAAAGUGAGCGGAUGAACUGAGGGUAGCGGAGAAAUUCCAAUCGAACCUGGAGAUAGCUGGUUCUCUCCGAAAUAGCUUUAGGGCUAGCCUCAAGUGAUGAUUAUUGGAGGUAGAGCACUGUUUGGACGAGGGGCCCCUCUCGGGUUACCGAAUUCAGACAAACUCCGAAUGCCAAUUAAUUUAACUUGGGAGUCAGAACAUGGGUGAUAAGGUCCGUGUUCGAAAGGGAAACAGCCCAGACCACCAGCUAAGGUCCCAAAAUAUAUGUUAAGUGGAAAAGGAUGUGGCGUUGCCCAGACAACUAGGAUGUUGGCUUAGAAGCAGCCAUCAUUUAAAGAGUGCGUAAUAGCUCACUAGUCGAGUGACACUGCGCCGAAAAUGUACCGGGGCUAAACAUAUUACCGAAGCUGUGGAUUGUCCUUUGGACAAUGGUAGGAGAGCGUUCUAAGGGCGUUGAAGCAUGAUCGUAAGGACAUGUGGAGCGCUUAGAAGUGAGAAUGCCGGUGUGAGUAGCGAAAGACGGGUGAGAAUCCCGUCCACCGAUUGA
rnacentral:rRNA from 1 species